ACAGACUAGUGCAUUGGCUAAUCUCCACUGUGACAGUACCGGCACCCUCAUUAAGAAUCACCGGAUUACUCCGUGCCACCAGCCGCGGUAAUACGGGGGGUGCAAGCGUUGUUCGGAUUUAUUGGGCGUAAAGCGCGUGUAGGCGGUUUUAUAAGUCUGAUGUGAAAGCCCUGGGCUCAACCCGGGAAGUGCAUUGGAUACUGUAAGACUUGAAUACGGGAGAGGGCAGUGGAAUUCCUAGUGUAGGAGUGAAAUCCGUAGAUAUUAGGAGGAACACCGGUGGCGAAGGCGGCUGCCUGGACCGAUAUUGACGCUGAGACGCGAAAGCGUGGGUAGCAAACAGGAUUAGAUACCCUGGUAGUCCACGCUGUAAACGAUGAGAACUAGGUGUUGCGGGUAUUGACCCCUGCAGUGCCGUAGCUAACGCAUUAAGUUCUCCGCCUGGGAAGUACGGUCGCAAGACUAAAACUCAAA
rnacentral:rRNA from 1 species